GUAUUAUAUAGCUGUCACACGAACGAUCAAAAAAUGGGUCGGAAAAUAAUAUAAAAAAUCGGAAAAUUAGUGGGAAAAUAAUAUUAAACAAAUUAUAGCUUUAGUGUCCUUUGACAUAUUAUCUUAUAAUAAUGGGAAUAUUAUUCUUUAUAUUCAAUAAAUUUGAAUUAAAUUUAAUAAAAUUUGGACUACUCUAACAUAUAGCUGUCAAAGAAACAGUCAGAGAAAUAAUGAAAUAUAUAUAUUUAUUUUUAUACCACUGAAGCUAGCAACAAUAAUGAGUCGGUGCUUUUGAAAACCGGGAAGGUUAAGCCCGCCCAAAAAGGUGCUCAGGCGAAAAGGCAGCAAUCCAUAGAGCUGCGAUAGUCAGCGGUAGGCCCCGAGCUCGGAUUUGGCUCCCAGCUGCAAUAAAGGCGCCGGAGGACAUCCUCUACAUGCUGCAGGAAUGCAACCCGCAACUCCCCACGAAAAGUCGUCAGGGUGGAGGAGACAGAAGAGGAUGUUAACCAGGCAAUCGUAGUCCUGAACAAGGAGUGGGUAGCUCUAAUCGAAGCUGCUCGAGAAGUGCUGAACUUCGCUUUCAGUGCCACUCCUGCCAACAUUUACAAAGUCGACUCCAAUGCAGCUAGCAGAUCUGCCCACCUAGUGGGCCGAAGGACGGCUACUCGACCGUUUCGUCGCUGAUCAUACUGAUGCGAGCGCUUGGACCGGCAAUCGAAGACGUGGACCUGAGCGAUACGGAAGAGGCCGAAGUCACCGUGGUGGAGAUUGCAACUGUAGUUAUCAUUAAGACUUCUGCAAAUCAACCUACACCACAGUAAAACAGCGUCGGCUGCACUACUGCUUCAACUGAGCGGGGGCGGAGCCAACCUGGUCCUAGUACAGGAACCUUGGGUAGUACUUUCUGACGAAUCUGUACGGGUAACAAGUAUAAAAAGCGGAUCUAUGCAAAACUCUUGAAUACAGUCACACAGCCUUCGAGGCCUAUGAUUCCAGAUAGAAAGAAAUGGGAAUGGCUCGUUUUUACACAUGCCGGCAUUCUAAAAGCAGCAAAAAAAAUACUUCUGUAGAAGUGGCAGGGAUGAAGAAGAAGAUUAAACGGUCGAACACCUUCUCUGCUUCUGCCCCGCCAUAUCCAGACUCACAUUAAAGCACUUAGGAAUUCCCUUCAUCAAAGAUGUUACCGAAAUAUCGGAGAUUAGCCUAAAAAACAAAAACGCGUUUGUAAAAUCUAAAAUUAACCUGAUUUUAGUAUGAAACAUAAAAGAUAGGGGACCCAAAAGAUCAUACCAUAUCACAAUGGACAAACUGAGGUCUACGUGUGUCAGACCAUAAUCUGGCAACCUUUCUAACCUAUUCUAACCUAACACAAGACUGUUAAAUUUCGUUUUCGUUAUAAGUUUGCUAGCAAACGGAAAUCACUUUACCUAUAAAGCUCCCACGGGAACGACCGACAUCGUUGUUGACGAUCAGGACAUAAUAAGAACACACAUAUUUUUUGCUUGACGCCUCCGUGAAUCAAGGCGCCUGCCGAGAUUCAUCAAUGAUGUCGAGGAUGGCUAAUUUCGACGCUGGUUUUCGAAGUACUCCGGUUGCAAUUUUCACCAUUGCUGAUCGUACUUUUCGUCCUUUGCGAUAUGAAUUUCAAUGGCGCUCGGUCGAGCCGCAAAUUAGAACUACAUCUCUAAUUUGUAUAUGCUUACGAUUACGAUUAAACCAUUUAGUGCGUCUGGUUGGAGUCGGCAAGUACCUCAGAAUAUAACGUAUACAGAAGGUCUUCAUCAACUGCUGCCGGAUAUGCAAGUUAUAUGACACAUUAUUUAGGGGCUCUUACCCAAUUUAUAAACAACUUUGAGCCGAGAGCCAAUUUCCAAAUAACUCUGACAGACCCGAGAUAAACCCGUGGUCAGCUAUUUCAUUCAACCAGGCCUCCGAAUCAUUCCCACCCAGAUCAAUUUCACGCAGCCCAAAUCAAAUCGAGUAAAAGUAAACGAGCAGUGAAUUAACUAAGUUCGACCUAUUAAAAAAUUGUAGUAGUGAUUAAGUGAUUAAUAAAUAAAAAUAAAUUUUUUUACUUAAAUCACUAGU